rnacentral:rRNA from 1 species
UACGUAGGUGGCAAGCGUUAUCCGGAAUUAUUGGGCGUAAAGGGUGCGUAGGCGGCCAUUUAAGUCUAAGGUGAAAGUUCGAGGCUCAACUUCGGAUUGCCUUAGAAACUGGAUAGCUUGAGUACGGGAGAGGGUAGUGGAAUUUCGAGUGUAGGGGUGAAAUCCGUAGAUAUUCGAAGGAACACCAGUGGCGAAGGCGGCUUUCUGGACUGUAACUGACGCUGAGGUGCGAAAGCCAGGGGAGCAAACG